CGACGAUCGUGGUCGGCCGGCUCGACGACCGGUUCGGUCCGCGGGCCGUGAUCCUCGCGACCCUGGGCGGGCUGAUCGUCUCGGCGGUCGUCGUC
rnacentral:tRNA from 1 species